UACAGAGGUGGCAAGCGUUGUUCGGAAUUAUUGGGCGUAAAGAGCUCGUAGGCGGUUUGUUGCGUCGGCUGUGAAAUCCCGAGGCUCAACCUCGGGUCUGCAGUCGAUACGAGCAAACUAGAGUGUUGCAGGGGAGACUGGAAUUCCAGGUGUAGCGGUGAAAUGCGCAGAUAUCAGGAGGAACACCGGUGGCGAAGGCGGGUCUCUGGGCAACAACUGACGCUGAGGAGCGAAAGCGUGGGGAGCGAACAGG
rnacentral:rRNA from 1 species